UACGAAGGGGGCUAGCGUUGUUCGGAUUUACUGGGCGUAAAGCGCACGCAGGCGGCUAAACAAGUCAGAGGUGAAAUCCCAAGGCUCAACCUUGGAACUGCCUUUGAAACUGUUUGGCUAGAGAUCGAGAGAGGAUAGUGGAAUUCCUAGUGUAGAGGUGAAAUUCGUAGAUAUUAGGAGGAACACCAGUGGCGAAGGCGGCUAUCUGGCUCGAUACUGACGCUCAUGUGCGAAAGCGUGGGGAGCAAACAGG
rnacentral:rRNA from 1 species